GGCGCUGUGGUGAAAUUGGUAAACACAAGCGACUUAAAAUCGCUCGGCCUCGGUCUUGCGGGUUCAAGUCCCGCCAGCGCCA
rnacentral:tRNA from 1 species